UUGAAUUUGAACGACGAAGAAGUUGUCUUAUUCCCAAACUGGGAAACUAGAAUCACCUGAUUUGAAAGUGGGAUAACUUCUUCAUCCCAACUCCUAUGAGAUUUAUUCAACUUCCUGGUGAUUCUCCACCACUUUAUGUAUCCAUAUCAAGCUUCUUACAAAGUGAUUCAUCCUAGUUCGAUUGGAACGACGAAGAAGUUGUCUUAUCCCCAAACUGGGUAACUGGAAUCAACUUAUUUGAAAGUGGAUAACUCUUCUUCCCAACUCCUAUGGUUUAUUCAACUUCCUGGUCAUUCUCCACCACUUUAUGUAUCCAUAUCAGGCUUCUUACAAAGUGGUUCAUCCUAGUUCGAUUGGAAAAAUGAAGAAGUUGUCUUAUUCCCAAACUGGCAAACUAGAAUCACCUGAUUUGUAAAAAGGGAUAACUUCUUCUUCCCAAUUCCUAUGAGAUUUAUUCAACU